GUGGAGUGUACCCGGAAGACCAUACUUUGCCACUGUUGUCUCUUAAUGUGCACGCUCAGGAAGUUUCUUCUCCCUGGGAAUGUACUGUUGACCCUUGACCAACACAGGUUUAAACUGUGAAGGUCCACUUAUACAUGAAUUUUAUCCCAUCUUUGCCACCCCAAGACAGCAAGACCAACCUCUUCUCUCCCUCCUUCUCAGCUUACUCAACAUGAAGACAACAAAGAUGAAUGAUCCACUUCCAUUGUAUGAUGUUCCUCUUCCACUUAAUGGAUCAUAAGUUUUCAGAUAAUGGCCAGUUUCUAUUGAAAUAGUCAAAGAAGAAUAUUCUUUACACCUCAGCACAUGGAAGAGAUUCAAUAGAUGCAUAUAUUUAUUUCAAAGUGUCACACCUACAGCCCACUAGAAAAAAAAUUGGCAAGUUUGGGGAUUUUCUGAUCAUUCGAAUAGGAAGAAAAAACCAUGGGAGGAUGUAGACCAUAAAGUAAGGAGAAAGAAUAAAAACGCUUUGGAAGAUAUUUACUUCUGGCCGG